CCUACGGGUGGCAGCAGUGGGGAAUUUUGCGCAAUGGGGGAAACCCUGACGCAGCAACGCCGCGUGCGGGACGAAGGCCCUCGGGUUGUAAACCGCUUUCAGCAGGGAAGACUUUACGACGGUACCUGCAGAAGAAGCUCCGGCUAACUACGUGCCAGCAGCCGCGGUAAUACGUAGGGGGCGAGCGUUAUCCGGAUUCAUUGGGCGUAAAGCGCGCGUAGGCGGCCGCCUAAGCGGGACCUCUAACCCCGGGGCUCAACCCCGGGCCGGGUCCCGGACUGGGCGGCUCGAGUGCGGUAGAGGAGAGCGGAAUUCCCGGUGUAGCGGUGGAAUGCGCAGAUAUCGGGAAGAACACCGAUGGCGAAGGCAGCCUACUAAACUGCCACUGACAUUGAUGCUCGAAAGUGUGGGUAUCAAACAGGAUUAGAUACCCGAGUAGUC
rnacentral:rRNA from 1 species